GGCGGAAUGUAGUCGUGGCAUCAAAGUCGGUUUGUCAUAGGUCAUAACGUAACUAUCACAGCCAGCUUUGAUGAGCACGACUUCAUCUGU